UACAGAGGGCCCAAGCGUUGUUCGGAUUCAUUGGGCGUAAAGGGUGCGUAGGCGGCGCGGUAAGUCGGGUGUGAAAUCUCGGGGCUUAACUCCGAAACUGCAUUCGAUACUGCCGUGCUUGAGGACUGGAGAGGAGACUGGAAUUUACGGUGUAGCGGUGAAGUGCGUAGAUAUCGUAAGGAAGACCAGUGGCGAAGGCGGGUCUCUGGACAGUUCCUGACGCUGAGGCGCGAAGGCCAGGGGAGCAAACGGG
rnacentral:rRNA from 1 species